rnacentral:rRNA from 1 species
GUCGAGAAUCUUCGGCAAUGGGCGCAAGCCUGACCGAGCGACGCCGCGUGGAGGACGAAGGCCUUCGGGUUGUAAACUCCUGUCGAGGGGGAAGAAGGCCCCGCGAGGGGCUUGACUGAUCCCUGGAGGAAGCACGGGCUAAGUUCGUGCCAGCAGCCGCGGUAAGACGAACCGUGCGAACGUUAUUCGGAAUCACUGGGCUUAAAGCGCGUGUAGGCGGGAUGGCACGUCGGUCGCUGAAAGCCCCCGGCUCAACCGGGGAAGUGGCGCCGAUACGACCACCCUGGAGGGACGUAGGGGGACCUGGAACUUCCGGUGGAGCGGUGAAAUGCGUUGAGAUCGGAAGGAACGCCCGUGGCGAAAGCGAGGUCCUGGACGUUUUCUGACGCUGAGACGCGAAAGCCAGGGGAGCGAACGGGAUUAGAAACCCUAGUAGUCC